UUGAGCCGGAUGCGGGGAAACUCGCAAGUCCGGUUCUUAGGGGGGAGCGGCGCAGUAAUGCGCUGUUCCUACCCGAC
rnacentral:ncRNA from 2 species